rnacentral:lncRNA from 1 species
CGCGGCGGCCCUGUCCCCGUAACUGUGACACGGGUGCACGCGAGCGUCAUUGGGGGCGAUGGGGGCCGUGCUGGGUGCGCGUUUGCACCAGUGACGCAGCCGCUGCAUCUCCGCCAGUCCGCGCAGGCCAGCAUCCUUCAGAAAAAGCAUCCCCGAGGAGGAAGACGAAUCGUUAAACAUCUGAAAGGGUCAGGCCAGCAUCCUUCAGAAAAAGCAUCCCCGAGGAGGAAGACGAAUCGUUAAACAUCUUAGGUCAGCUCUAGCCUCUCGGAAUUUGUCUUCUUCAGUGGAAACCCCGAGAAGACUGAUCAGUUCUUCAGUUCUAAAACAAUGGCCCAGGGUUUGGUGACGUUCGCCGACGUAGCCAUAGACUUUUCUCAGGAGGAGUGGGCCUGUCUGAACUCUGCUCAGAGGGACCUGUACUGGGACGUGAUGCUGGAGAACUACAGUAACUUGGUCUCACUGGGAAUGUAUUGAGCCUUAUUGAUGUGGCCGUGAGCACCACAACCUUCCCCUCCCAUCCAUCGGUUACCUUCCCACCUUUGUCGACUCCCCCGUAAUCAUCUCACUUCCUUAAUGUCCGUGGAAUGAGUGGGAAUUCUGGGAUAUUUAUUUCAUGACCAUCUUCAAAGGAGCCAGUUUGUCCUGUGAGAGUAUGUUUAUACCCAAAUUGCUAUUGGUGGUCGGUGUUACUCUAGGGACCCACGUCUAGGGAAAACAUGUGGACACAGUGCCCUGAAUUGUUCUAGUAAACCAGCCUAUGUGUUUGAAGUACAGUAGAUCAGACAAACAGAAUUUGUGUAAAACCAAAGUGGGCGUAUUUCAUUUCUUACAUACCAUACCUGAAGUGAGGUUGAAAGUUACAAUCCCCGAACUGUGAGUUAAACAUUGAAUGACAAUAUCUUGCAAAC